UACGUAGGGUGCAAGCGUUGUCCGGAAUUAUUGGGCGUAAAGAGCUCGUAGGCGGUCUGUCGCGUCGGAUGUGAAAACCCAGGGCUCAACCCUGGGCCUGCAUUCGAUACGGGCAGACUAGAGUUCGGUAGGGGAGACUGGAAUUCCUGGUGUAGCGGUGAAAUGCGCAGAUAUCAGGAGGAACACCGGGGGCGAAGGCGGGUCUCUGGGCCGAAACUGACGCUGAGGAGCGAAAGCGUGGGGAGCAAACAGG
rnacentral:rRNA from 1 species